rnacentral:rRNA from 1 species
CCCUAUGUGUAUCAUGAUUACACGAUCUUCGUCGCGGAGGUCGCGUCCACCUUCAACGAGACCCUCCUGAGCGAUUACCUUUUGCGAAAAUAUGAUAACGACGCGAACAUGAAGGCCUAUAUCCUGAACCGCGAGAUAGACAACAUCCGCGGGACCCUGUUCAGGCAGACCAUGUUCGCCGAAUUCGAAAUGCUCACGCACAGGGCCGUCGAAGAGAACAGCCCCCUCACCCUCGAGGUGUUGCGCGACAUGUACCGCGGGCUGCUGAAGGCAUACUUCGGCGAGAGC